AUUUUUCGUGAUUUGUUGGAUUAACCCUCUGAGGUCUGAAUCCCAGGCUGUGCACAUCAACAUCACAGAUUUGUACAAAUAAAGUUUAUAACAAAGACAUGUUAAAUAUUAAGCACUGAAAACAGCUUGGUUGUUGUUGUUUGGAACGUCAUUUAAUGCAUGUUGUUUGGUUGCCAUAGUGAUGCCUUGAUGCUAAAAUGACAUCACAGCAUUUAAACAUGUUUUGGUUGAAAACAUCAGCAUAUGAAAACAGAACUGAAGAGACACUGCAACCAAAGCAGACGACUAGUGAAAUUUCUACGUUUCCCUGAGGAUUAACUGCUCUGCAAUUUACCAAGAACUAAAUCAAAAUGAAUGGAAGAGGAGAUGAAUCACAAAAUAACCGUAAUGGCCGACAGGUUAACCCAGAAAAUCUUCCAAGUGGAGAUCAGGAACCGGCUUAUGAAGCAGCUUAUGAACCUGUUGGUGGAUUCUGGGGUUUACUGAACAGUCUUUAUCGUGCUCUCUAUAAUAUCUAUUUUUCGAGGCUGAAUGAGCUGUUAGAUGAAUUAGAGGAACAAUAUGAUGUCUUUGACAUUGACAAUCUCAAUGACGGCAAUGUUAACAAUGUAAACAUUAACAAUAUUAAUGUGAGAGACAAUAAUGCCAAUGUUGACAACAAUGAACUGCAUGAUGAUCAUAAUGCUGUUGUUGUCGACAUUGAAA